GUGUAUGUAGCUCAGUGGUAGAGUGCACGUUUAGCAUGCACGAGGUCCUGGGUUCAAUCCCCAGUACAUUCA
rnacentral:tRNA from 1 species